ACGAACGCUGGCCCUAGGCCUAACACAUGCAAGUCGAACGCCGUACCAAUACGGAGUGGCAGACGGGUGACCCAACGCGUGGGAACCUUCCCUAUGGUUCGGAAUAGCUCAGGGAAACCUGGGGUAAUACCGGAUAAGCCCUUCGGGGGAAAGAUUUAUCGCCAUUGGAUGGGCCCGCGUAGGAUUAGCUAGUUGGUGAGGUAACGGCUCACCAAGGCGACGAUCCUUAGCUGGUCUGAGAGGAUGAUCAGCCACACUGGGACUGAGACACGGCCCAGACUCCUACGGGAGGCAGCAGUGGGAACAUUUUGGA
rnacentral:rRNA from 1 species